UAUAUAUAUAAUGCUCUUUAAGUGAAUCUGAUAAAAAGCACAAUUAAUAUUGAUCUAUUGAAUGUGUAUAAUCUCUGAAAGGUGAUGUUUGAUCUUACUGGUACAAAAAAGUUUAAAAAAGAAUCAUAUUGUAUACUGAAUUAUUACAUGGAAAUGAUUAGAAAACCUGCCAUUUAUGAAAGUUUAAUCAGUUUUUUACCUGAAUGAAUUGUUCCUUAAAAUGGGCUUUCCAUUCUUUCACUUUUAGAAAAACAAACUUUGAAGGAAUGCUUUUGCUAUUAAUUUUUUAGGACUGACUCUUAAAUACAUAUAAAAUGAAGAAAGUGGGACUGUCAUACUGUUAUGUGGAAAUUCUACUGGCAAAAAAUUGAGUGAUAAUAUUUUGCUAUCUGCAUUAUGACUAAAACACUUAUUUCUUUUCAUAUGCACACAAAGAUUUCAGAAAAUCUCUUUGAAGAAAGGAAAAAUAGAGGGUUGCAACAGUUUUCAAACUUAGCUUCUGAUUUAUAACUUUCUCAAUUAGAGAUAAGGAAAACAAUAUAUAAUUUUCAAUUGUAACUUUGUUUCCUUUCUCCAAAUUAGGACCAAGUUUGGAAACACUUGACUUAUUAAAGUUAUGGUUAUCUACUUACUUAUGAAAUGUGUACGAAUAUUUCCAACUACAGGUGACCCUUGAAUAACACAGGGGUUGCGGUGCAGUCAAAAACCUGCAUAUAAUUUUUCAUCCCCCCAAAACUUAAUUACUAAUCGCCUACUGUUCACCAGAAGCCUUACCGGUAACAUGAACAGUCGAUUCGUACAUGUUUUGUACAGUAGAAUAAGCCAGGGCAAAAGUGACAUUGAGAAAAACAGAAGGAAGAGGAAAUACACUUACAGUACUAUACAGUAUCCAAAAAUAAUCCAUGUGUAAGUAAAGUAGACCCGCACAGUUCGAAACCAUGUUGGUCAAGGGUCAACUGUAUAUUACAACUGUUCCUGUCUAGAAUGUUCUUAUUUAGAUCUUUCUUAUACAAGGUAGCCUCUCCCUGAAUGCCCCAAACGGGCUCCAAAAUAGCGUACUGAACAUAAUCAACACUGGUGAUAAGGAUUCCAAUGUCUUUACAAAUGUAGGUGUGAGGACAAAUGUUUUGGCUGACAUGUUUCCCAAUAUUUUCAGAGACUGUUUUCCAUAAUACCUUUUUUUUAAUUGAAGUAUAGUUGACAGACAAUGUUACACUCAUUUCAGUAUACAAAUUCAGAUUGGACAAUUGUAGACACUAUGCUAUGCUCACUACCGUACGUGUAGUUACCCUCUGUCACCAUACAACAUUAAUACAAUAUUAUUGACGAUACUUCAUAUGCUGUAUUCUUCAUUCCUGUGACUUACCUAUUUUAUAACUGGAAUUGGUACCUCUUCCUCCUCUUCACCUAUUUUGUCCUUACUCUCUACCCACCUCCCCUCUACCAACCACUAAUGUGUCCUCCGUAGUUGAUUCUGUUUGUUGACUUGUUUGGUUUUUUUAUACUCCACAUGUAAGUGAAAUCAGAUGGUAUUUAUUUGUCUUUCUCCGAUUUAUUUCACCUAGCAUAAUUCCCUCUAGGUCUAUCAGUGUUGUCACAAAUGGCAAGAUCUCAUUCUUUUUGACAGCUGAGGUAUAUUUCAUUGUAUACAUAUUACACAUCUUCUUUAUCCAUUCAUCUAUCGAUGGAUACUUAGGUUGCUUCCAUAUUUUGGUUAUUGCAAACAAUGUUUCAAUAAACAUAGGGAUGCACACAACUUUUCAAAUUAGUGUUUUCAUUUUCUUUGGGUAAAUACGCACUAGUGGUAUUAAUGAAUAUCUAUCUAUUUUUAAGUUUUUGAGGAACCAUAACACUUUUUUGACAAUAGCAUUAUAUUCAGGCCUUAUAAAAUGAAUAGGACAACAUUACUAUACCAGACUUAUAAAAGUAAUAACUCAAUACCAGAUGAUGGGGGAAGGCUUUAUUCAAACAAUUUUAUAUUACUAUUAAUAAUAUCGAUAUAAAAUAUAAACCACGUUUUUUACAUGACAUGACUUAAGGAACUACCAAGGUAAUGUUGCAUCUUUUCCCCAAAAGCUCUUUUCCUAAAUAUUUACCUCUGUGACCUUUAUGUUUAUUUCUAGGUAAAAACUGUGUUUCGAUGGUGAAAAUAGCUUUCAAGUCCAUGAAUGAGGACACAUGUGUACUUUUAUGUAUACCUUUCCAUUUAUCAGAAAUAUAAGAGGGACAGAGAACUUGAGAGAGAAAAUCUUCAGGUGAAGCAAGCAAGCUGAAACUGAGGAAAUUCUUCCUGAAAGAAUGAUUUAUUUCUUCCAAAGAAAUUUGGUUUAUCAAAAUCAAUCAACAAAUGAGUGAACCCAUGGUGUGGUUAUUUAUAGCCAAAUUUAAAACCCAACAGAUUUCUCUUUCCCAUCUAGCAUGCUUCUGUCUAACCUCUCAGCCUUAGUUGGAAGGGAGACUUACCUAACGGGUGAAUUUGGGAGAAGGAGCUAAGCAGUGCUUAUGUGUUUCUGAGUCUCCUCUUUGAAAAGAUGUGCCUGCCCACAGUAACAUGAAUUUGGGUCUGCUCUCAGCUCUGUAAAAGAGAAGAGCAGUGUUACUUGUCGCCUACCCAGUGUCACCUGUCACAGCUCCACCAAGAAAAAUGACUAGACAGCACUUACAGAAACAUUCUCUUCUUCCUUGACUUCAUAACUAAUGUACAUUGUUCAAAAGCAACGCCCACUCAAAAGAGAGAAAAAGUCGAAAGAAACCAUUUUAGAAACAAACAUAGAAAGUCAGACAAACUGAGGACACAGAGGAAUACCUUCCAAAUGAAAGAACAUGACAAAACCUAAGAAAAAAAAAAACUAACAAAACUAAGAAAAAAAAUCUAAGAAAAAAAAAACAGAGAUAAGUGAUGUACCUCAUAAAGAGUUCAAGGUAAAGGUCAUAAAGAUGCUCAGUGAACUUGGGAGGAGAAUGAAUGGAUCCAGUGAUAACAUCAACAAAGAGAUAGAAAAUAUAAAAAAGAACCAAUCAGAGCUGAAGGAUACAAAAACAAAAAUGACAAAUACACUAGAGGGAAUCAACAGCAGAGAAGAAGAUGCAGAAGAACAGAUCAACAAUUUGCAAGACAGGGUAGUAGAAAUCAUCCAAGCUGAAAAACAAAAAGAAAAAAGAACUUUAAAAAUGAGACUAGGUUAAGGGACCUGUGGGACAACAUCCAGUGUAAUAAUACUUGCAUUCAAGGGGUUCCAGAAAAAGAAAAGAGAAACGGGCAAAGAACUCAUUUGAAGAAAUAAAAGCUUCAUUUUAAAAAUUCAAAUAUUUGCUUGAUUUACCUAUUUAUAAAAUGCUCUACAAUCGCUCAGCAAGAUAUUUUAUAAAAAUUGAAACAGAGGUGCUAUGAGUCAAAAAAAAAAAAGGAAAAAGAAAAAAGAGUGCCAUAAGUAAGAGAGCAAUUAAAGAUGUAUUCUCAUGUAAGAAAAUAGCAAAAAUUUAACUUAAAAGAGAAAUUAACCUUUUUAGUGUUACAAGUUGAUUUAAUUCAUAAAAAAGGACUUACCAUGGGUUCUUUUUUUUGUUUAAAGUAGCCUCCAUGCUUAGUGUAGAGCCCAAUGCAGGACUUGAACUCAUGACCCCUAGAUCAAACCCUGAGCUGAGAUCAAGAGUUAGACGCUGAAAUGACUGAGCCACCCAGGCACCCCCUUGGAUUCUUUUAAAUAGUAAACAUUCAUAUGUCGUUAAGUGUUUGGAGGAUGAUCAUUCACUGACAUACAGUGGUGCAAAAACUGGAUGAUAGCAAAACCUUCAAAUGUUUAUGAACCACUGCCAACCGAAAAUAAGUCCAAGCAUCUAAGUGUACCUGUGGUCAACAGGCAAUAACAUUUACUUUCUAAAAUCAAAUUUAAAUGAAAGCUUUUCAAGAAAUUUAACAUGGGUCAGUUUAGUUAUAUUUAUUGAAUACAGUUAAUACUAGGUGUCUCUUGUGGCACACCUGGGUGGCUCAGUUGUUUUCAGUGUCCAAAUCUUGAUUUCGAUUCAGGUCAUGAUCUCAUGGUUUUGAGACUGAGCCCCACAUUCGGCUCAGUGCUGAGCAUGAAACCUGCUUGGGAUUCUCUUUCUCCCUCUCCUUUUGCCCCUCCCCUGCAUGCACUCACUCAUUCUCUCGCUAAAAUAAAAUAAAAAUAAGUAUCUCUUGGAAAUGAGAGAUCAAGGGACUAAUAUAUAUAUAUAUAUAUAUAUAUAUAUAUAUGUAUAUAUAAAAUUUAUAUAUAUAUAUAUAUAUAAUUUACCUCAGUUCUUUCUUAGCACAUAUAAUUAUGACUUUUACUUCGUAUGUAUUAGUUACUUAAACAACUCAGAAUUUCACCAAAUUAAAAGCAAAAAUUAUAUCAGAUAUCUGAAACCCAAAGUAAAACAGAUAAUAUAACUAACCUUCCACAAGGAAGUCUCCCAGUAGUCAUAUGACGGCCGUGGGUUUAAGGUAGGAAUCACUAAGUUUCCUCUUGGAGUAAGGUUUCCAUUGAGCACUGAAUUAUUUUCAAAAUGUCCACAAUAAGGUGUUUCCAGGCCUGGGCUCAUAGUAAGAGUCCUGAGUGAAGUUUGAUGCUGCUGUCUCUCUGCAAGAAGUUUUGUAUUGCUCUUUGACAGUCUCUCAUUAGUCCUGUGAAGAUUAAAAAACACAAAUACAUUUUCUUUUUCCCUAAAUCAUUCCUAAAUGACUUACAUCUUUUUAAGUUUCCAUAAUAGUAAAUAGCAUUUGCCAUUGAAUAGUGUUUUAACACUGAACAUGUGACAGAGCACACCUACUAUCUAAAAUUAUACUUUUAAAAUUGUUCUAAAGAAAUACUUAUGUUUCCAGGGGGAUCCCUAACUAACAAUUCAAAUUAGGGAAGGGAGAGAAGUGGCUAUCAGUGAUGUACAUGGCUUAAUGAAUAAUACUUGCUGUCUUCUGGAAUGGCUGUACUGACAACAUCCUUCAGGAUGCCAGUAUAUAUACACACUUAUAUUUAGUAAACCUGUUUACAGAUAUAAAGAUAAACCAUCCCUCAAAGACAUUUUCAAGCGUUUGCUUUCACCACUCUUGUACAUUUCACUUACUAUCUCAAAGAAACUGAGCAUUUGACACCGAGGAAUCACUGAGACCAACAAUCUCUAGGGGAGAUAGUGGAUGGCAGACGUGUGAUCAGAAAGAAUUAAAACAGCUACAGAGGCAAUUAGCUUAUAACAGUUACCAAGGCACUGGAGGCAGAAUCUGCCCUUUCUGUCUUCAGUCUUCCACAUACCUCCCUCCCACCAUGGUGCUCUUUUUAGCCACUUUGGGAACUAUACUCCCCUCCAGCCCUGUGUGAGUCUUUCUGUAUUUCACAUGUAUGCCAUUAUGUAAAGUAGAAAAACCAUAAAGGAUAGUUUGUCUCAAGGCCCACUCUAGUAAUAAUACCAAAGUUCACAAUCAAGAGAAUAAAUGUACCAAGCUGCCAGGAUGAGUAGUAGUAGGACUUGACCUUUUAGGUUAAAGAUGUCAUCUUCCAAAAAUGAACUCAUCGACAUUUCUAUUUAGGGUACUUCUGACAAGCAAUUUUAUAAUAAUAUGCUUCUAAAUGAGAAAGCUUCAAACAAUGCACUUAAAGACUAGCAGAUCCGAUCAAUGGGAAAUAUACA